rnacentral:rRNA from 1 species
GCCAUGCUUUACACAUGCAAGUCGAACGGCAGCACGGACUUCGGUCUGGUGGCGAGUGGCGAACGGGUGAGUAAUACAUCGGAACGUGCCCAGUUGUGGGGGAUAACUACUCGAAAGAGUAGCUAAUACCGCAUGAGAACUGAGGUUGAAAGCAGGGGAUCGCAAGACCUUGCGCAACUGGAGCGGCCGAUGGCAGAUUAGGUAGUUGGUGGGAUAAAAGCUUACCAAGCCGACGAUCUGUAGCUGGUCUGAGAGGACGACCAGCCACACUGGGACUGAGACACGGCCCAAACUCCUACGGGAGGCAGCAGUGGGGAAUUUUGGACAAUGGGCGAAAGCCUGAUCCAGCAAUGCCGCGUGCAGGAUGAAGGCCUUCGGGUUGUAAACUGCUUUUGUACGGAACGAAAAGCUUCGGGUUAAUACCCUGGAGUCAUGACGGUACCGUAAGAAUAAGCACCGGCUAACUACGUGCCAGCAGCCGCGGUAAUACGUAGGGUGCAAGCGUUAAUCGGAAUUACUGGGCGUAAAGCGUGCGCAGGCGGUCUUGUAAGACAGAGGUGAAAUCCCCGGGCUCAACCUGGGAACUGCCUUUGUGACUGCAAGGCUGGAGUGCGGCAGAGGGGGAUGGAAUUCCGCGUGUAGCAGUGAAAUGCGUAGAUAUGCGGAGGAACACCGAUGGCGAAGGCAAUCCCCUGGGCCUGCACUGACGCUCAUGCACGAAAGCGUGGGGAGCAAACAGGAUUUAGAUACCCUGGUAGUCCACGCCCUAAACGAUGUCAACUGGUUGUUGGGUCUUAACUGACUCAGUAACGAAGCUAACGCGUGAAGUUGACCGCCUGGGGAGUACGGCCGCAAGGUUGAAACUCAAAGGAAUUGACGGGGACCCGCACAAGCGGUGGAUGAUGUGGUUUAAUUCGAUGCAACGCGAAAAACCUUACCCACCUUUGACAUGUACGGAAUCCUUUAGAGAUAGAGGAGUGCUCGAAAGAGAGCCGUAACACAGGUGCCGUGCAUGGCUGUCGUCAGCUCGUGUCGUGAGAUGUUGGGUUAAGUCCCGCAACGAGCGCAACCCUUGCCAUUAGUUGCUACGAAAGGGCACUCUAAUGGGACUGCCGGUGACAAACCGGAGGAAGGUGGGGAUGACGUCAAGUCCUCAUGGCCCUUAUAGGUGGGGCUACACACGUCAUACAAUGGCUGGUACAAAGGGUUGCCAACCCGCGAGGGGGAGCUAAUCCCAUAAAGCCAGUCGUAGUCCGGAUCGCAGUCUGCAACUCGAACUGCGUGAAGUCGGAAUCGCUAGUUUAAUCGUGGAUCAGAAUGUCACGGUGAAUACGUUCCCGGGUCUUGUACACACCGCCCGUCACACCAUGGGAGCGGGUCUCGCCAGAAGUAGGUAGCCUAACCGUAAGGAGGGCGCUUACCACGGCGGGGUUCGUGACUGGGACGAAGUCGUAACAAUAA